rnacentral:snoRNA from 1 species
CCUCCACCUGCUGCUGCUGCUGCUGCUGCUGCUGCUGCUGCAGCAGCAGCAUCUGAAGGGAGGGGAAUGAGGGGCUCUGUCUCUCUCUCUGAUAUCCCGUUGAACGGACUCCAAGAAGAAAGAAAGCAUCACUUG